rnacentral:lncRNA from 1 species
UUUUUAGUAAGUAGGCCCGACAUCGGGGUGAUGUCGGAUCAAAGACGGGAUUUGCCCCGGUUUUUGGGAAAUUCCAGGGUGGAUCCUGUCACAUCAUAGCUCCAUUAGCUUAUUGUCACUUUCAUGACACUUUCCUACUACACUUUAUUUAUCAUUUGAAUAACAGAUGGAUUUUUCUAACAUGUGAGUGAUCUCAUUUGCAUGUGAAUAUAAUUUUGCAUGUUCUU